AGAGAGUAUAGUUUAAUAGGAAAAAUAUCAUUUUGUCGAAAUGAAUGUUACGGGUUCAAAUCCCGUUACUCUC
rnacentral:tRNA from 1 species